GAUGAACGCUGGCGGCGUGCCUAAUACAUGCAAGUCGAGCGAACAGACGAGGAGCUUGCUCCUCUGACGUUAGCGGCGGACGCGUGAGUAACACGUGGAUAACCUACCUAUAAGACUGGGAUAACUUCGGGAAACCGGAGCUAAUACCGGAUAACAUGUUGAACCGCAUGGUUCAACAGUGAAAGACGGUCUUGCUGUCACUUAUAGAUGGAUCCGCGCCGCAUUAGCUAGUUGGUAAGGUAACGGCUUACCAAGGCAACGAUGCGUAGCCGACCUGAGAGGGUGAUCGGCCACACUGGAACUGAGACACGGUCCAGACUCCUACGGGAGGCAGCAGUAGGGAAUCUUCCGCAAUGGGCGAAAGCCUGACGGAGCAACGCCGCGUGAGUGAAGAAGGUCUUCGGAUCGUAAAACUCUGUUAUUAGGGAAGAACAAAUGUGUAAGUAACUAUGCACGUCUUGACGGUACCUAAUCAGAAAGCCACGGCUAACUACGUG
rnacentral:rRNA from 1 species